rnacentral:rRNA from 1 species
AACGACCCCAGGUCAGGCGGGACCACCCGCUGAGUUUAAGCAUAUCAAUAAGC